rnacentral:rRNA from 1 species
UGGGGAAUCUUGCGCAAUGGGGGAAACCCUGACGCAGCGACGCCGCGUGCGGGAUGAAGGCCUUCGGGUUGUAAACCGCUUUCAGCAGGGACGAGGCCUUAUGGUGACGGUACCUGCAGAAGAAGCUCCGCCUAAAUACGUGCCAGCAGCCGCGGUAAUACGUCGGUGGCAAGCGUUGUCCGGAAUUAUUGGGCGUAAAGCGCGCGCAGGCGGUCACUUAAGUCCAUCUUAGAAGUGCGGGGCUUAACCCCGUGAUGGGAUGGAAACUGGGAGACUGGAGUAUCGGGGAGGAAAGUGGAAGUCCUAGUGUAGCGGUGAAAUGCGUAGAUAUUAGGAAGAACACCGGUGGCGAAGGCGACUUUCUGGACGAAAACUGACGCUGAGGCGCGAAAGCGUGGGGAGCAAACAGG